GGUGGCUCAGUGGUAGAGCUCUUGCCUUGCAUGCAUGAGACCCUGGGUUCGAUCCCCCAGCACCA
rnacentral:tRNA from 1 species